GGUUCCACGGUGUAGCGGUGAUCAUGUCUGCUUUACACACAGAUGGACCUGGGUUCAAGCCCCAGUGCAACCU
rnacentral:tRNA from 1 species